AGACGGUGCUCUUUAAACACCAAGCCAGCACUCCAGCCCCUGUUUGGCUCCUUUUUGGAGAAGAAUGUGUCACAUUUGCUGGGCUGUUGUUACUCAGUUUAUGACUUCUCUUUCUGCUGACGAUGAGCUCCUGUGGCCAAGCCUUGCCUUUCUCAUCUCUGCACGCAACGUGUACAGAGCAUCCGUCCUGCACCUGUGGCGACGGCCCUGGGUAUUCUUCCUCAGCAAAUGGCACAGAAGAGUUUCCCCUUGGACACAGCAGUGAUAGCAGGUCUUAACACCAGAGUCCCUUACAAAGUGCACUGAAUGCAUUCUUAUUAACCAUGAGUGACAGAAGAGGGAGCUUGGUCCUCUAGAACUGGAGUUA